UAUUUCCACUCGUCUUUCACAACUUUCUUUUUAGUAGUUGCUUAGGUUCCAUAGCUUUAGGAGCUAAAAAAGAAAAUCAAAUAUCUUAACGGCUACAACUUUCUUUCUAGUAGCUGAUUCGCUUUAGGAGCAAUUUGGUUGCUGUAGAACCACAUAACUUGCCCCAAAGCUAUUGCAUUGAUAGGAAGGGCUUGACUUUCCUCGUCUUUUGGUUCAUCUCCUUCCCAAUUCUCAUUUGUCCAAUCUUACAAACCCUACUUUUUCGUCGCUGGUUAUGCGUCGACACCUACUGAUUUGUCUCCAUGAUGUUAUCGAUUCUCUUCCGGUCGCUGACAGAGCAAGCUGUGUCACCCCAACCCUGGCUUGUGAGGUUUGGGAUGGUGCUUCGUGGGAGUGACGGUGAGAAGCCUAGGUUGGUAUGAGGUCGGAGAGGAUGAGGCCUUUUGAAGUUUCUUUAUGAGGUCAGUAGUUGGUGGAGUAAGGUCUUUGUAGUUCAAAGUUAUGUUGUGUUUUAGGAGUCUAGGUUGGUUUUUGUUGAAAUUAAGGAGUUGUUCUCUAUCUUUUUUUAUAUAUAUGUAUAUUUAUAUACUUAUUAGCGGUUAAAAAAAAAGGGGCGUAAUUAUAGAAAAUAUACCUUUUUUUUGGAUUAUUGAAAAAAAAACUCAAACUUUUGAAAACCUCGUCCAAACACCUUUUCUUCACUGUUUUCAUUUUUUUUACCAAAGUAAAUUAUACGGUAGUCUUAGAUCCAUGAAGACACGAUAGACACACUACUGUAAUAAUCAUAGGUGGUUCAAUGUUUUUAGGCAUGGCACUUAAAUAGCUGUGAUGGUCUUUAAGGGUUCUUAUGCCCAUUGAUGAAGGAAACAAUAACGAUAUUUAUAUAACUGUGACUAUAUUUGUAUACAAAGGCACUUGAAAUACGGUGAGACCAUCAUGGAAAUCUCACUUGUAAUAAAAUCCCUUAUUCCAUUUGAAAUAGUCGUUCUUCCUCUCCGACGCUUUUUCUCACUAGGGCUCCCUCUACCCUAACCGUUCUUCCUCUCUGGUGCUAUCUCUCACUGGAGCUCCCUUUACCCUAACUAUUCUUACUAUAUGACGCUCUCUCGCAUUGGGGAUCCCUCUCCCUCUUCUGCCUCAUUGGACAUUCUCUGAUCAGACAUUCUUUAUUGAGGACCAUGGCCCAAGGUGUAUGCUGGCUUGGAGGUCAUCGUAUUCCCACAUCUCUCACAAGACAAAAUAACUGCAUAUCACAGAAGGAACGAGUUAAGGUCCUCAAGAUUGAUGAGAAGCCCAGUUCACUAAGAUUAUGGCCUCUAACUAAUAAUGUUCAAAUAGACUUGAUCACGAGAUCAGGGUUGUAUCCUCUAACCCUAGUUGCUAUGACUCAAAAGGACCUUUGCACAGUGGAUGUUAUUGUCAAGAGGUGGCGCGCAAAGACGAACACCUGGUACUUUAAUGUAGACGUAGAAGAGAUGAUUCUUACUCUUGAAGGUGCAUGCAUAAUUCUCCUAUAAGGGUGAUAGGUACCCUUAUAACUUUUAGGAGAGUGGACAACUAUGGUGGCUAUAUCGUCCAGAUGCUAGGAGAACUCCUUGAAGGUACCAACUAUUCCAUUAUUCGGCUUACAUGGUUGAGGAAGAAGUUUAGUCUGCCACACAACUGUAGCCGGCACACCCUUAUACAACAUUCCCGUGCCUACCUCUUGUAUCUAGUUAACUGCACCAUUUUUGCAGAUUCAAUAUACCGUAUUGUAUCUACAUUAAAUUUGCAACUUUUUGAGGAUGUCGAUGCUGUUGGUCGGUAUGCAUGGGGUGCAGCCGCCCUAAUUUAUUUGUUUUGAUCAUUGUUAAAAGAUUAUUCAUCUUGAUCACUAACUCCCAAGUGGAU